GUCCCUUCUGUGAAGACGUACAAAGUGCCCGAGAUGAAGGUUCACCGUGCUUACUUGCAAGGACCAUUCGAGCUGUACUUCCUCUGAGACAGAUGCUUUUCAUCCCUCUGGUAGAGGGCAAGAUGUGGCAAACUCCACAGACCCUCACACGCCUGUCAAAGCUCCUCCACAAAUUCCCAGCGCUGCUUUUCGCUUUAACGAGCAGAGACGUGGAGGGUUCCCAUAAAGAGGUCAGAGUAAAACUCAGAGAGAGUCCUUGCGUUUGUUUUUUCCAAUGUACAAAUAAAAGCGCUUAAAUAGUA